rnacentral:rRNA from 1 species
UACGGAGGGUGCAAACGUUGCUCGGAAUCAUUGGGCGUAAAGCGCACGUAGGCGGCCUGUUAAGUCGGAUGUGAAAGCCCCGGGCUCAACCCGGGAAGUGCAUUCGAAACUGGCGGGCUUGAAUAUGGAAGAGGGUCGCGGAAUUCCCGGUGUAGAGGUGAAAUUCGCAGAUAUCGGGAGGAACACCAGUGGCGAAGGCGGCGACCUGGGCCAAUAUUGACGCUGAGGUGCGAAAGCGUGGGGAGCAAACAGG